AAAGUAGCAUUACUUUGGUGGCGACCGGCGCACGGGUGAGUAACGCGUAUGCAACCUACCUAUCAGAGGGGAAUAACCCGGCGAAAGUCGGACUAAUACCGCAUAAAACAGGGACACCGCAUGGUGAUAUUUGUUAAAGAAAUUCGCUGAUAGAUGGGCAUGCGCUCCAUUAGGUAGUUGGUGAGGUAACGGCUCACCAAGCCGACGAUGGAUAGGGGAACUGAGAGGUUGGUCCCCCACACUGGUACUGAGACACGGACCAGACUCCUACGGGAGGCAGCAGUGAGGAAUAUUGGUCAAUGGGCGAGAGCCUGAACCAGCCAAGUCGCGUGAAGGAAGAAGGAUCUAUGGUUCGUAAACUUCUUUUGCAGGGGAAUAAAGUGCAGGACGUGUCCUGUUUUGUAUGUACCCUGAGAAUAAGGAUCGGCUAACUCCGUGCCAGCAGCCGCGGUAAUACGGAGGAUCUGAGCGUUAUCCGGAUUUAUUGGGUUUAAAGGGUGCGUAGGUGGUUUGAUAAGUCAGCGGUGAAAGUUUGCAGCUUAACUGUAAAAAUGCCGUUGAAACUGUCGGACUUGAGUGUAAAUGAGGUAGGCGGAAUGCGUGGUGUAGCGGUGAAAUGCUUAGAUAUCACGAAGAACUCCGAUUG
rnacentral:rRNA from 1 species